rnacentral:rRNA from 1 species
UACGUAGGGGGCAAGCGUUGUCCGGAUUUAUUGGGCGUAAAGAGCGUGUAGGCGGCUAGGUAGGUCCGUUGUGAAAACUCGAGGCUCAACCUCGAGACGUCGAUGGAAACCAUCUGGCUAGAGUCCGGAAGAGGAGAGUGGAAUUCCUGGUGUAGCGGUGAAAUGCGCAGAUAUCAGGAGGAACACCGGUGGCGAAGGCGGGUCUCUGGGCCGAUACUGACGCUGAGGAGCGAAAGCGUGGGGAGCGAACAGG